rnacentral:precursor_RNA from 13 species
GCCAUCUGCAGUAACCUCUCAGUCACAGCCUCGCUCUUUUCAGGACCUUUGCUGUUCUGAGGAGCAAACGUCCUGAAAAGAGUGAGGCUGUGACUGAGAGGGAUGGGGCCGCUCCAG